rnacentral:rRNA from 1 species
AUGGAAAGCUGGCGGCAUGCUUUACACAUGCAAGUCGAACGGCAGCGGGUAUGUGCUUGCUUCUCUGCCGGCGAGUGUCGUACGGGUGAGUAAUAUAUCGGAACGUGUCUAGAUGAGGGGGUGAAUCACCCGAAAGGGUGGCUAAUACCGCAUAAAUGUGGUGGAAGAAAGCUGGGGACCUAGGAAGUGGCUUUGUUCGUGUUGAGCUGUCGUUGUCGGAUGAGCUAGUUGGUGAGGUAAAGGCUCACCAAGGCGAAGAUCUGUAGCGGGUCUGAGAGGAUGAUCCGCCACACUGGGACUGAGACACGGCCCAGACUCCUACGGGAGCACGCAGUGGGCACAUUUGGACAAUGGGGGCAACCCUGAUCCAGCCAUGCCGCGUGUCAGAAGAAGGAAUUAGGGUUGUAAAGUACUUUUGUUAGGGAAGACAAAAAAGCUGUGAAUAAUGGCUGAUACUGACGGUACCUAAAGAAUAAGCACCGGCUAACUACGUG